GUAGGUGGCAAGCGUUGUCCGGAAUUAUUGGGCGUAAAGCGCGCGCAGGCGGGUUCUUUAAGUCUGAUGUGAAAGCCCACGGGCUCAACCGUGGAGGGUCAUUGGAAACUGGAGAACUUGAGUACAGAAGAGGAAAGCGGAAUUCCACGUGUAGCGGUGAAAUGCGUAGAGAUGUGGAGGAACACCAGUGGCGAAGGCGGCUUUCUGGUCUGUAACUGACGCUGAGGCGCGAAAGCGUGGGGAGCAAACAGGAUUAGAUACCCUGGUAGUCCACGCCGUAAACGGUGAGUGCUAAGUGUUAGGGGGUUUCCGCCCCUUAGUGCUGCAGCUAACGCAUUAAGCACUCCGCCUGGGGAGUACGGCCGCAAAGGCUG
rnacentral:rRNA from 1 species